rnacentral:antisense_RNA from 1 species
CCCUUAGCGCAGAAGCCCCGCCCACCUAGACUGAGCCCCACGUUGCUGCCAAGGCUCCACCCACUCCCCCACUCUCCUCCCGCUCGGUCCCCCAAGCCUGGCUGGCUCCACUCACUCUAGCACCCUUCACUGCUGCCUCCUCAGGGAAUGCUUGGCCCCAGCGCCUUAGGAAGGAGCCUGCUAGGGCCUUCAGCACUCAGCGGUUUCUUCUACGCAAUUUCUCAGUUUCAAAUAAAGCCCGUCUGCGGGGCAAUUUCGGCCAUCCAGACGGUGACCGGGGCACCCGCGAUGGCCACCUGAGGGACACAGCAGACAGAUGGGGGCAGAGAGAGAGAGAGAAACAGGCGUCGGGUCCUACAGCCAGCAUCAGCCGCUGUCCCGGGGCCGCCCUGGAGCCCGUGAGGAGCGCUCAUGCACAUGGGGCCGGCAAGGAAGGGGCCCUCAGACCGCGUGGCCCCCGUGGACGGUGCGUGGCAUGGGGGUGGGCAGGGCGCCACAGGCAGGCAGGUGCGGCCCCUCCCCGCCGCCGCAGAGGGCCGGGUCCCACUGCCCGUCUGCCUCCUCCUCCUCCUCAUCGCCGCCGCCCCGCAGUGCCCUGACUGCCGCCGGCCUGGGGCCCCCCCGCCGCUCUGCACACCAUGCCCCACCUCUGCCCAUCCGAGGCCGGGGUCCCGGGCUCAGCCUCCCACAGAGAGCUGCUGGCGGGGUUUUGUGCAGCCGGAUGCCAUCCUGCGGUCGGCGGUGGCGGGCAAUGAGGAGGGGGGCUCGGCCCCGUGGGGCUGCUGCAGGGAGAAACAGCCACGUGGCAAGGCCCCUGCCGAGGCGCCUCCCCGGGCGUCUCUCCCUCUUGGAUGAAAAGUGGCUCGCUGGAAGCCCCCUGUCCCUCCAGGCCCUGCUAACCCUGCCUGCUAUCUGGGGAUGGCUGGACAGAUCCAGCAGCCAUCUUGCUCUGCCACCUCCCAGGCGAGUGGCUCUGGGAGCCACGUCCCCUCUGAGGGCGUCAGUUUGCCCAUCCCUAAUAAAGGGACAUUAACAGGAAGAGGACCCAUUUUCUAGAGGGCACGAGGAAGAAAAAGACGGGUGCCCAGGCAUGUGCAAGGUCACAAAGAAUGGCUGGUGCCAUCGCCGUUGUCACUACCAGCCACAUCCCCACCACCGCCACUGCCACGAUUUCAAUGCUGGUGUCCCCUCUGAAGUCCGUGCUGAGAUCACUACUGCGGCCUUCAAGCGACUGAUCCAUGGGGCCCACUCAUGUGAAUGGGAUGAGGGGCCCUUAUAAAAGGGCCUGAUGGAGGGAGGUCACGGCUUUUCCGCCCCUUGCAACCCCUCUGCCGUGUAGGAAGCAGCACAGGGCCUCUCUGGAGGGUUGCCGACCAGGCAACCUCGUGGGAACAGAGAGCAGCCCUCCCCGACACAGCCCUGCCUUGGCCUUGGACCUCCCAGCCUCCAGAACUGUGAGAGAUUUUCGUUCUUUAUAAAUCCCCAGGCUGUGGGGUUUUGUUCCAGCAGUGCAAAGGGACCGAGAUGAUCGCCAUCACCACCGUCGUCAUCACCAGUGUCGGCACAACUUGUCUGUCCCUGCAGGGCGCAGCCCAGAGCUGAGCAGCAAAGCAUACGUCCCCUUUUGUUCUAAAAGGGCGCCUCGUUGAGCCUGCGUCACCCCAGCCAGAAGUGCCCUUCUGCGGGUGGUAUUCCAGAGCCGCUCCCAUACCCUGCACCCACACGGCCCAGGGCUCCCUUCCCGAGACCCGAAGGACCCAGAGCAACAGGGAGGAGUUGUUACCAUUUGGUUUUUCAGGGCCCCUUCGAACCGAAGCCCUCGCUGACAGGAGCCCCUGCCGUCAAUCACAACCACGGCGUAGCCCAGGGAGGCCAGUGUGUUGAGCCGCAAGUACUUGAUGCCUUUGAAGGAGUUAUUCACCAGCUGCACCUGUGGGGAGGUGAGGGCCAGCAGUCCAGCACGAGAUGCCGGGCAGGACGGGCCUGGCAGGGGAGAUGCCGGUGGGCUGGGGACCGGGCCGGGCUGGGGCCUCAGAGCCUAAUGAAAGCACCUGUGCCCCGGAGGCUCUGGAUGGACACCUGGGAGUGGCAAGGCGGGAGGGGCCCACACUCGGGACCCUGCUAGGGAGGGGGAAGGGCCACUGUCAGGCUCUUUCUCAGCUGGGCCACUGCCCCAGUCCUGCUGGAACAACCGCUCUGGCAUGAUGGACAUUGGGGUGGCUCAUUCUCGGGUGGGGCCAUCUGGGCACUGCGGGGUGCUGAGAAGCCACUCCAGGCCAGGAGAACUCGCAGUGGUGAUGAACCACAAAGUACCCAGACAUCGCCCCGUAUCCUCUGUGGGGACAGAGCUGCUCUGGGUAAGAUGUGCGCCUAAGAUGGUCCACCUGCCAAUCUGCUGCCUGCUUUUGACCCCUGCUCCAGGAAUUGGGCCCAGGGCCCAUGGCCACCUCCAUACCAACCUGCAAACUAGGGGACUUCCUAGAGGAACAAGGGAGAGUCAGCAGGCGGAGGGGGAAGGGGAGGCCAUCCAGGAAGGGCGGGGAGCGUGCAAACGGGCACAGAGAAAGGAGGGUGAGGGGCCCCGAGGACCCUGUGUAGUCAGGGCAGGCGGGGUGGGCUGGGGCACCAGGCAGGUAGCCGGGGAGCCUCCUCUGGUUGACCGUUCUACAGCUGGCACUUGAGUGGGGAUGGGGAGUCCUCGGGUGGAUGGUGGGGUGGGGGCCUGGGGAGCAGGUGUGCACUCACCUGGGGGCCUCCAUACACAAAGAGGACGGUGGGGUGCUUCUUCCCUGGCUGCAAGGCGUGGGGCUUGUAGAUCAUGCCGUAGAGCCGCACAUCCGAGCGCGUGUGGAAAUGGAAGAUCUCUGGAGGCACGUAAUCCGGGGGGCAGCCUGCGGGAGACAGGGCGGCUAUCUGGCUGCCCGGGGAAGCCACAUCCAGCUGACACUCUUGUUCUCCUGCCCACCCCAAGCCUCGGAGGGUGGACCAAAGCACCCCCUCUUUUCCUGGGCUUCCCGAGAGUUGAUAAUUGAAAAAAACAUUUUUUUUUUUAAUUAAAAUAAGAUUUGUAC